rnacentral:rRNA from 1 species
AACGAACGCUGGCGGCAGGCUUAACACAUGCAAGUCGAACGGAUCCUUCGGGAUUAGUGGCAGACGGGUGAGUAACGCGUGGGAACGUACCCUUUGCUACGGAAUAACUCAGGGAAACUUGAGCUAAUACCGUAUGUGCCCUACGGGGGAAAGAUUUAUCGGCAAAGGAUCGGCCCGCGUUGGAUUAGCUAGUUGGUGGGGUAAUGGCCUACCAAGGCGACGAUCCAUAGCUGGUCUGAGAGGAUGAUCAGCCACACUGGGACUGAGACACGGCCCAGACUCCUACGGGAGGCAGCAGUGGGGAAUAUUGGACAAUGGGCGCAAGCCUGAUCCAGCCAUGCCGCGUGAGUGAUGAAGGUCUUAGGAUUGUAAAGCUCUUUCACCGGCGAAGAUAAUGACGGUAGCCGGAGAAGAAGCCCCGGCUAACUUCGUG